rnacentral:rRNA from 1 species
AUUGAACGCUGGCGGCAUGCCUAACACAUGCAAGUCGAACGGCAGCACGACCUAGCUUGCUAGGUUGGUGGCGAGUGGCGCACGGGUGAGUAAUGCGUAGGGAUAUACCUUAAAGUGAGGGACAACCUGGGGAAACUCAGGCUAAUACCGCAUGAGCUCUAAGGAGGAAAGAUGGGGACCUUUCGGGGCCUGGCGCUUUAAGAUGAGCUUACGUCCGAUUAGUGAGUUGGUGGGGGAAAGGCUUACCAAGACGAUGAUCGGUAGCUGGUCUGAGAGAAUGAUCAGCCACACUGGGACUGAGACACGGCCCAGACUCCUACGGGAGGCAGCAGUGGGGAAUAUUGGACAAUGGGGGAAACCCUGAUCCAGCGAUGCCGCGUGUGUGAAGAAGGCCUGCGGGUUGUAAAGCACUUUCGGUUGGGAGGAGGACUUAUAGGUUAAGAGCUAAUGAGUUGGACGUUACCCACAUAAGAAGCACCGGCUAACUCCGUGCCAGCAGCCGCGGUAA